rnacentral:lncRNA from 1 species
CAAGAACAAAUUAUUCGCCAGUAAAGCACUCUAAUAUCACCACGUCCUUCUUCCUUAUUUCUCCUUUCUUCACAAAAUGUACACAGGCAGUAAAGCAAAGAGAGUCAACAUUUCUAUUUCACUAAUAAUUAUCUUUACUCACUCUCAAUAGGGUAUGAGAUUAUAACUCUAUUUUAUAAAGUGGCUGAUCACAAAGAUCUCAAGAAUGUGGCCAAAGCCCCUAAUAUGUACCCAUUUAUUCCCCAAUAGUAUCGCAUUCCAGGAACAGCUCUGCAUUGCCUAUAUUCUCUUCAAGUAGAAUUGUUAUCUUAAAAUAACCCUGUUCUGUACAUUUAGGGGAGAAAAUCAGUAACAGGAUGUUAUUCAGGAUAAAAUAAGUUAAUAAAACAAUUAUAACCCAA